CCUACGGGUGGCAGCAGUGGGGAAUAUUGCACAAUGGGGGAAACCCUGAUGCAGCGACGCCGCGUGAGUGAAGAAGUAUUUCGGUAUGUAAAGCUCUAUCAGCAGGGAAGAAAAUGACGGUACCUGAUCAAGAAGCCCCGGCUAACUACGUGCCAGCAGCCGCGGUAAUACGUAGGGGGCAAGCGUUAUCCGGAUUUACUGGGUGUAAAGGGAGCGUAGACGGCAGCACAAGUCUGGAGUGAAAUGCCGGGGCUUAACCCCGGAACUGCUUUGGAAACUGUGCAGCUAGAGUGCAGGAGAGGUAAGUGGAAGUCCUAGUGUAGCGGUGAAAGGCGUAGAUAUUAGGAGGAACACCAGUGGCGAAGGCGGCUUACUGGACUGUAACUGACGUUGAGGCUCGAAAGCGUGGGGAGCAAACAGGAUUAGAUACCCCAGUAGUC
rnacentral:rRNA from 1 species